UCCCGCCGUUAUGCGAGUAGUGUUUUGAUGUCGAACAAUAAUGCAAGUUCUGUUCCCGUGUCCGACACUCCGCCUCCGACUCCUUUUCUCCGGCGCUACACGUCGAGCAUUUUUACUCUGUCCUCCCGAUUUUUUUAAUGUGCCCAUUACGCUUGUUUCCACAUAGUUUGAGCUCUCAUUGUUUUUAUAGCGACCUGACGCCACAUCAAAUACCCAACUUAACACUUUGCUACAGCCGCAAUGCGUAGUGCGUGCGUGCAGUGAUUGUGUGCGUGGCCAUGGAGAACCACGCCCCCUGACAUUUAUUACGUGGUGUAGAUAUUUUUGAGUCGGCGGGAAUUUUUAGGGUCAGUCGGGAAAUCAAAACCACAAGCUUUUUUUUCGCACCUCACCGAAAUUCCACAACGUUUGAAAAAAGAAGCCAUGCAGAGCCACAACAUUGGGGUGGGAGCCCCAUGCGGCUCCGGAGCCGCGGUUUGCCAACCCCUGGGCGAGAACAUUCAUGUCGUAGAGCACCCAGCUCAUCUUUGAUGAGUCGAUUUCAUCCAUGCUGAAAAAUUCCACACAGUGCAAAAUCAUCGAAUCUACUCUCUGCUGCUAAAACUUGGUAGGGAAUGGAAAUCUCAACCACAGAUGAGCCUCCCUGCGUGUGGUGGGACAGUUGAAGGUCUGAUUCCAUUUGUUGAAGAUUUUGGUUUUCAGGACACAAGAUUUCAGCGACAUCACAGGCAUUUUUUAAUAAAUU